AUCCCAUCAAAAGUGGGUUGGUCUGAGAAGCCCCUCCUGCCUUUUAGGCACCGGAGCUGUUAAAAACAAACCCAAAAACCAAUGUUAAUAGCGAGCAAAACAAGACAAAACAAAUCAAAAACGCCAAGAAACACUAUUAAAAGAAGGCGUCGGAGAUUACCAGCCCCUUCCGGGAUGGCGCUCGGAGCCUGGCUCUCGCGGACAUCAAAGCCGCCACGUGGAUAACGCGAUAUCGCGAUAACAUGAGCGGAGUCUCAGGCAUAGGCUCUGCGCAUUAGGCGCUGCCCUCCUCCUCCUGAGGGAAGCCCCACCACUAGCGUUGCUUACUGCACUGCCCGAGCUGAAGAAGAACCCAGGAACAAAAGCUCAGAACCGGGCGGGCAUCGGGCUGUAGCUUCCACCUGGCGAUAGCAGUGAGGUGGCUCCGAUGGCCAUUCUUUUCAAGUUUUAAAGAAAAACAAUGCAAAGACCCUCAGGCUGGACCGCUGGCGGGCUUGUGUUUACAAGGGGGGAAUCGAGGCUACUCCUCUGCCCUGGCGGCUCCCAUGGGGCAGGAAGGAAGGCAGAGCAGAGGAAGCGCAAUUUCCUGACUAUCUGGAAGGCAAGACUCUCCUUCAGCGCCCCCCAGUCACUGACCCGCCGUUAGGGGCACUGAAUCCCCGACUGGGGAGUGCUUUGACAGACGAGGGGGCAGUCAGCUUUUUAGGAUUACUGUUCGGUCUACAUGUACUAAAGGAAAAGUAACUAGAACAUGGGGGGGGGGGGGCAAAACAAAAGAAUCAAAUUUCUUCAAUCUUCUGCAAAUUAAAAUCAUGCCAAAUAAUAUUGUGCGUUCAAAAGACGGUGUCAAUUUGGGGAAAAAGCACGCCUCAUUCAGAAUUCUAAAUACAAAUGAGUUUUAAAGAUG